UCUGAUUUCAGUUCACUCUCUUCACUCCCAUCUUCUUCUUUUUCUUUCCCUUCCGGCAGAAACAAUUCAACACCAUAUGGUACCAUUACUCCUCCCUUUGGCAACACACACACACCAUGUUCUUCCUAUCACCAAGUUUCAUUUAUUUUCUCCUUCCUUCACGUCUUCCCUGCUGAAGAUCACCACUAAUUAUUUUAUCAAGUCAAGAUGCACCACUUCUUCUCAUCAAUCAAUUUAACAAAGCAACCACUUUUUCUUUCUCGGUAACACAAUCAUCAUCUCAUUACCAGCACCCAUUUCUUCAUCAAAUAUCACCACCAUAUUAAUUUUCUACUAGCAAGAGUGCAAAUGUGCCAUUGCCUUGUCUACUUAAUUAAAUCAAGAAGAAUCAGACUUGAGUUUUCACAAUUGAAGAGGACAGGCCGAGAGCAAAGGGAGUAAGAGGAUUCAAGCACAGUUUCUUCGUUUCUUGACAGAUCGUCGCACUGACAGUUGCUACGCGUAGACCUCGAGGUUCGUUUGUGGAAACCUUGGACUUGACUGAGCAAGCUUGUGAGUGUGACUUACAUUGUGAUUCUGGAGGAACUAGAGAUGCCGUUGACGGAAUGUUUCGUGAUGCUUCGUCGUUCGGGGAGGACCCGGAGCGAAAUGACUACUACUGAGCCUUCGGGGUGGACCCGGACUUCAUGCAGGAUCGGAUGAGGGUCGAUGUUAGGGGUGUAGUAUAUCGGGUGUCGUUGUCAUAGCUCUGAUUUUCAUUUCUUAUUUUGGGGCAGGGUAGGUCCCCGACUAUUAGCUUUUUGUGUGGUUCUCUUCCAUGAGGAUCACAGGGAGUUUGUCGGACGUAGGAGGUCCUUUGGAGGCCGUUCUGGGCUGACUUACUUUCUUGGAGGACUGUAUUUAUAAGGUUAUGACUUUGACUAUGGGUCGCACUUAUUUGCCUGCGGGCACCACUUUCAGUUACUUUCCGUCACUUGAGGACACUCGUGACGAUGUUUUUAGUUGCAGCGAGGGCUGUACUUAUAUUGUAUGUUAGUCGCUGUUA